rnacentral:rRNA from 1 species
GGGAGCUUGCACAGGUGCUGCAUGGCUGUCGUCAGCUCGUGUCGUGAGAUGUCGGUUAAGUCCGCUAACGAGCGCAACCCUCGCUGUGUGUUAUAUGUGUCACACGGGACUGCCGGUCUUAAGCCGGAGGAAGGUGGGGAUGAUGUCAAGUCAGCAUGGCCUUUAUAUCCUGGGCUACACACACGCUACAAUGGCCAACACAAUAGGUUGCUAAGCCGCGAGGUGGCGCCAAUCCAUAAAGUUGGUCUCAGUUCAGAUUGUAGGCUGCAACCCGCCUGCAUGAAGAUGGAGUUGCUAGUAACCGCAGGUCAGCUAUACUGCGGUGAAUACGUUCCCGGGGCUU